UACGGAAGGUCCGGGCGUUAUCCGGAUUUAUUGGGUUUAAAGGGAGUGUAGGCGGCCUGUUAAGCGUGUUGUGAAAUGUAGAUGCUCAACAUCUGAACUGCAGCGCGAACUGGCUGGCUUGAGUACACGCAACGUGGGCGGAAUUCAUGGUGUAGCGGUGAAAUGCUUAGAUAUCAUGAGGAACUCCUAUUGCGAAGGCAGCUCACGGGAGUGUCACUGACGCUUAAGCUCGAAGGUGCGGGUAU
rnacentral:rRNA from 1 species